AGCUGGUCCAAAGAUAGUGAGUUAUCUCAAUCUAUUGUUCCCAGUCAGUUACAGAUUGAAUUCCUUUUUCUAUUCUUUCCCAUAUUCUCACUACUGCACUUGACUAGUCUUAA
rnacentral:Y_RNA from 1 species